rnacentral:rRNA from 1 species
CAGGUGGCUGCGACUGUUUAGCAAAAACACAGCACUCUGCUAACGCGAAAGCGGACGUAUAGGGUGUGACGCCUGCCCGGUGCCGGAAGGUUAAUUGAUGGGGUUAGCUUAUGCGAAGCUCUUGAUCGAAGCCCCGGUAAACGGCGGCCGUAACAAUAACGGUCCUAAGGUAGCGAAAUUCCUUGUCGGGUAAGUUCCGACCUGCACGAAUGGCGUAACGACGGCCACACUGUCUCCACCUAAGACUCAGUGAAAUUGAAUUCGCGGUUAAGAUGCCGCGUACCCGCGGCUAGACGGAAAGACCCCGUGCACCUUUACUACAGCUUUGCACUGAACAUUGGACCUACUUGUGUAGGAUAGCUGGGAGGCUUUGAAACUGGGACGCUAGUUCUGGUGGAGCCAAUCUUGAAAUACCAGCCUGGUAGUUUUGAUGUUCUAACCAUGGCCCCUUAUCGGGGUUUGGGACAGUGUAUGGUGGGUAGUUUGACUGGGGCGGUCUCCUCCUAAAGCGUAACGGAGGAGCGCGAAGGUUCACUAAUCAGGGUCGGAAAUCCUGAGGUUUGUGCAAAGGCAUAAGUGAGCUUGACUGCGAGACAGACACGUCGAGCAGGUACGAAAGUAGGUCUUAGUGAUCCGGUGGUUCUGUAUGGAAGGGCCAUCGCUCAACGGAUAAAAGGUACGCCGGGGAUAACAGGCUGAUCUCCCCCAAGAGCUCAUAUCGACGGGGAGGUUUGGCACCUCGAUGUCGGCUCGUCACAUCCUGGGGCUGGAGAAGGUCCCAAGGGUUGGGCUGUUCGCCCAUUAAAGUGGCACGCGAGCUGGGUUCAGAACGUCGCAAGACAGUUCGGUCUCUAUCUGUUGUGGGCGUAGGAAUAUUGAGAAGAUCUGACACUAGUACGAGAGGACCGUGUUGGACUUACCUCUGGUGUACCAGUUGUGCCGUCCGGUGCAGUGCUGGGUAGCUACGUAGGGAAUGGAUAAGUGCUGAAAGCAUCUAAGCACGAAGCCAACUUCAAGAUGAAUAUUCACUGGCGUAUGCCGGGAGGGUCGUGGAAGAUGACCACGUUGAUAGGUUAUAGGUGGAAGUGCAGCGAUGUAUGGAGCCGAGUAAUACUAAUUACCCAAUAGCUUCCGUAA